rnacentral:rRNA from 1 species
GUCCACGCCGUAAACGAUGGGAACUAGGUGUGGCGGGUGUCGACUCCCGCUGUGCCGAAGCUAACGCAUUAAGUUCCCCGCCUGGGGAGUACGGCCGCAAGGCUAAAACUCAAAGGAAUUGACGGGGGCCCGCACAAGCAGCGUAGCAUGUGGUUUAAUUCGACGCAACGCGAAGAACCUUACCAAGGCUUGACAUGCAUUGGAAAACCGUGGAAACACGGUCCCCCUUCGGGGCUAAUGCACAGGUGGUGCAUGGCUGUCGU